ACUAAAAUGGCAGAUAAUAUGCAUAGGACUUAGAAUCCUAUUAUGGGAUAAUCUCUCUUUUAGUA
rnacentral:tRNA from 1 species